GUGAUGGAAAGGUGAAAAGAACCCCUGUUAGGGGAGUGAAAUAGAAUCUGAAACCAGUAGCUUACAAGCGGUCAGAGGCCUAUAUUCCUCUUUGAGGAAGAUGGCUAAUGGCGUGCCUUUUGCAUGAUGAGCCAGCGAGUUAUGUUAUACGGCUAGGUUAAGGAACAUCCGUUCCGGAGCCGAAGUGAAAGCGAGCGUGAAUAGCGCGUUAAGUCGUAUGAUGUAGACACGAAACCAAGUGAUCUAUCCAUGGCCAGGAUGAAGCUCGGGUAACACCGCGUGGAGGUCCGAACCAGUAUCUGUUGAAAAAGAUUUGGAUGAGCUGUGGAUAGGGGUGAAAGGCCAAUCAAACUUGGAGAUAUCUUGUUCUCUCCGAAAUAACUUUAGGGUUAGCCUCAACUUUUAAGACUCAUGGGGGUAGAGCACUGGAUUCCCAAGGGGGCCUACCGGCCUACCGACGGAAACCAAACUCCGAAUACUAUGAGUUAAGUUGGGAGAUAGACAGUGGGGGAUAAGCUUCAUUGUCGAAAGGGGAACAGCCCAGAUCGCCGAUUAAGGCCCCUAAUUCUAUGCUAAGUGAGUAAGGAUGUGAAGUUUCAUAGACAGUUGGAAUGUUGGCUUAGAGGCAGCCAUCAUUUAAAGAGUGCGUAACAGCUCACCAAUCGAGAGACUUUGCGCCGAUAAUGAUCGGGACUAAGCAUAGAGCCGAAAUCGCGGGUGCGCUACUAUUUGUAGCGCGCGGUAGGAGAGCGUAGUAUGUGCAACGAAGGUGUACCGUAAGGAGCGCUGGAGCGCAUACUAGUGAGGAUGCAUGGCAUAAGUAUACGAUAAAGGGAGUGAGAAUCUCCCUCGCCGAAAACCUAAGGUUUCCAGGGUAAAGCUCGUCUUCCCUGGGUUAGCCGGUCCCUAAGCUGAGGCUGAAAAGCGUAAGCGAUGGAAAGCAGGUUAAAUAUUCCUGUGCCGCCUAAAACUAUGACAAUGGGGUGACGGAGUAAGUUAAGCACGCGGGCUAUUGGAUGUCCGUUCUUCUAUGAGGUUGGUCAGUAGGUAAAUCCGCUGACGUAAUACCAGGUAGGAGACAAGGGGAAUCUUCGGAGGAACCGAUGGUGUAGCGCGAUGCUUCCAAGAAAUAACCUCUAGUCGUUGAUGGCGACCGUACCAAAACCGACACAGGUAGGUGGGAAGAAUAUUCUCAGGCGCGCGAGAGAACUCUCGUUAAGGAACUCGGCAAAUUAUCCUCGUAACUUCGGGAGAAGAGGAGCCUCCGAGCGUGAUGCCUUCGCGGCUAAGCGCUUAGAGGCCGCAGAGAAUAGGCCCAGGCGACUGUUUAGCAAAAACACAGCACUAUGCAAACUCGUUUAAGAGGAAGUAUAUGGUGUGAUGCCUGCCCAAUGCCAAAAGGUCAAUAGGAGAUGUCAGCCCUUCGGGGCGAAGCAUUGAAUUUAAGCCCUGGUGAAUGGCGGCCGUAACAAUAACGGUCCU
rnacentral:rRNA from 1 species